rnacentral:misc_RNA from 1 species
UGGUUCUGGCAUCGAUGAAGAACGCAGCGAAAUGCGAUAAGUAAUGUGAAUUGCAGAAUUCAGUGAAUCAUCGAAUCUUUGAACGCACAUUGCGCCCUUUGGUAUUCCGAAGGGCAUACCCGUUCGAGCGUCAUUACACCACUCAAGCCUGGCUUGGUAUUGGGCAGCGAGGCCUCCUCGCGCCCCGAUUUCUCCGGCGGGACUGACCCGAAUUGCAAGCGUUGUAAUACAAAUUCGCACCGCAAGGAGGGGCUCCCACGCCGUUAAAAAUUGAACCAGGUUGACCUCGGAUCGGGUAGGGAUACCCGCUGA